rnacentral:misc_RNA from 1 species
CACUAGCCCUGAUAGGAAUGGUUACCCCACAGCACGCAGUGGAAAGGCGUCCGGCCUGGGCAUUGGAAUACAGUGAGCGAGGAGUAAAAAUGGAGAGCAGGAAAAAGC